rnacentral:rRNA from 1 species
CCUACGGGUGGCUGCAGUGAGGAAUAUUGGUCAAUGGACGCAAGUCUGAACCAGCCAUGCCGCGUGCAGGAAGACGGCUCUAUGAGUUGUAAACUUCUUUUGUACGAGGGUAAACGCAGAUACGCGUAUCUUUCUGAAAGUAUCCGACGAAUAAGCAUCGGCUAACUCCGUGCCAGCAGCCGCGGUAAUACGGAGGAUUCAAGCGUUAUCCGGAUUGAUUGGGUUUAAAGGGUGCGUAGGCGGUCGGAUAAGUUAGAGGUGAAAUCCCGAGGCUCAACUUCGGAAUUGCCGCUGGUACUGUGCGGCUAGAGAGUAGUUGCGGUAGGCGGAAUGUAUGGUGUAGCGGUGAAAUGCUUAGAGAUCAUACAGAACCCAGAUUGCGAAGGCAGCUUACCAAGCUACUUCUGACGUUGAGGCACGAAAGCGUGGGGAGCAAACAGGAUUAGAUACCCGAGUAGUC